rnacentral:rRNA from 1 species
UACAUAGGGCGCAAGCGUUGUCCGGAAUUAUUGGGCGUAAAGAGCUCGUAGGCGGCUUGUCACGUCGGGUGUGAAAGCCCGGGGCUUAACCCCGGGUCUGCAUUCGAUACGGGCUAGCUAGAGUGUGGUAGGGGAGAUCGGAAUUCCUGGUGUAGCGGUGAAAUGCGCAGAUAUCAGGAGGAACACCGGUGGCGAAGGCGGAUCUCUGGGCCAUUACUGACGCUGAGGAGCGAAAGCGUGGGGAGCAAACAGG